CCUACGGGUGGCAGCAGUGAGGAAUAUUGGUCAAUGGGCGGAAGCCUGAACCAGCCAAGUAGCGUGAGGGAUGAAGGUCCUACGGGUCGUAAACCGCUUUUGUCCGGGGACAAAACCUUGCACGCGUCCCGGUCUGCAUGUACCUUGCGAAAAAGGGCCGGCUAACUCCGUGCCAGCAGCCGCGGUAAUACGGAGGGAUCGAGCGUUAUCCGGAUUCAUUGGGCUUAAAGGGGGCGUAGGCGGGCGUUCAAGUCAGCGGUAAAAUCCCGUGGCUCAACCCCGGCCCGCAGUUGAAACUGGAAGCGUUGAGUUGGCGACAAGCAGGCGGAAUGCGUGGUGUAGCGGUGAAAUGCAUAGAUAUCGCGAAGAACCCCGAUUGCGAAGGCAGCCUGCCGGGGUACGACUGACGCUGAGGCACGAAGGUGCGGGUAUCGAACAGGAUUAGAUACCCUAGUAGUC
rnacentral:rRNA from 1 species